UUAAGUUAAUAAGGGCGCACGGUGGAUGCCUUGGCACUAGGAGCCGAAGAAGGACGUGACAAACGACGAAAUGCCUCGGGGAGCUGUAAGUAAGCACUUGAUCCGGGGAUGUCCGAAUGGGGGAACCCAACAGGUUGAUGCCUGUUACCCAUUUCUGUCAAGGAAAUGAGGAGGAAGACGCAGUGAACUGAAACAUCUAAGUAGCUGCAGGAAGAGAAAGCAAAAGCGAUUGCCUUAGUAGCGGCGAGCGAAACGGCAGGAGGGCAAACCGAAGAGUUUACUCUUCGGGGUUGUAGGACUGCAAUGUGGACUCAAAGAUUAUAGAAGAAUGAUUUGGGAAGAUCAGCCAAAGAGAGUAACAGCCUCGUAUUUAAAAUAGUCUUUGUACCUAGCAGUAUCCUGAGUACGGCGGGACACGAGAAAUCCCGUCGGAAUCUGGGAGGACCAUCUCCCAACCCUAAAUACUCCCUAGUGACCGAUAGUGAACCAGUACCGUGAGGGAAAGGUGAAAAGCACCCCGGGAGGGGAGUGAAAUAGAACCUGAAACCGUGUGCCUACAACAAGUUCGAGCCCGUUAAUGGGUGAGAGCGUGCCUUUUGUAGAAUGAACCGGCGAGUUACGAUAUGAUGCGAGGUUAAGUUGAAGAGACGGAGCCGUAGGGAAACCGAGUCUGAAUAGGGCGCUUUAGUAUCAUGAUGUAGACCCGAAACCAUGUGACCUACCCAUGAGCAGGUUGAAGGUGCGGUAAAACGCACUGGAGGACCGAACCAGGGCACGUUGAAAAGUGCUUGGAUGACUUGUGGGUAGCGGAGAAAUUCCAAACGAACUUGGAGAUAGCUGGUUCUCUCCGAAAUAGCUUUAGGGCUAGCGUCGACAUAAAGAUUCUUGGAGGUAGAGCACUGUUUGGGUGAGGGGUCCAUCCCGGAUUACCAAUCUCAGAUAAACUCCGAAUGCCAAAGAAUUAUGGUCGGCAGUCAGACUGCGAGUGCUAAGAUCCGUAGUCGAAAGGGAAACAGCCCAGACCACCAGCUAAGGUCCCAAAAUAAUUGUUAAGUGGAAAAGGAUGUGGGGUUGCACAGACAACUAGGAUGUUAGCUUAGAAGCAGCUAUUCAUUCAAAGAGUGCGUAAUAGCUCACUAGUCGAGUGACCCUGCGCCGAAAAUGUACCGGGGCUAAAACAAUUUACCGAAGCUGUGGAUACCUUUAUAGGUAUGGUAGGAGAGCGUUCUAUGUGUGAUGAAGGUAUACCGUGAGGAGUGCUGGAACGCAUAGAAGUGAGAAUGCCGGUAUGAGUAGCGAAAGACAGGUGAGAAUCCUGUCCACCGUAAGACUAAGGUUUCCAGGGGAAGGCUCGUCCGCCCUGGGUUAGUCGGGACCUAAGGAGAGACCGAAAGGUGUAUCCGAUGGACAACAGGUUGAUAUUCCUGUACUAGAGUAUGUAGUGAUGGAGGGACGCAGUAGGCUAACUAAAGCAGACGAUUGGAAGUGUCUGUCUAAGCAGUGAGGUGUGAUAUGAGUCAAAUGCUUAUAUCUAUAACAUUGAGCUGUGAUGGGGAGCGAAGUUUAGUAGCGAAGUUAGUGACGUCACACUGCCAAGAAAAGCUUCUAGCGUUUAAACAUACUCUACCCGUACCGCAAACCGACACAGGUAGUCGAGGCGAGUAGCCUCAGGUGAGCGAGAGAACUCUCGUUAAGGAACUCGGCAAAAUGACCCCGUAACUUCGGGAGAAGGGGUGCUGACUUUACGUCAGCCGCAGUGAAUAGGCCCAAGCAACUGUUUAUCAAAAACACAGCUCUCUGCUAAAUCGUAAGAUGAUGUAUAGGGGGUGACGCCUGCCCGGUGCUGGAAGGUUAAGAGGAGUGCUUAGCGGUAACGCGAAGGUAUGAAUUGAAGCCCCAGUAAACGGCGGCCGUAACUAUAACGGUCCUAAGGUAGCGAAAUUCCUUGUCGGGU
rnacentral:rRNA from 1 species